AUUGAACGCUGGCGGCAUGCCUUACACAUGCAAGUCGAACGGUAACAGGUCUUCGGAUGCUGACGAGUGGCGAACGGGUGCGUAAUACAUCGGAACGUGCCCAGACGUGGGGGAUAACGAGGCGAAAGCUUUGCUAAUACCGCAUACGAUCUAAGGAUGAAAGCAGGGGACCGCAAGGCCUUGCGCGUUUGGAGCGGCCGAUGGCAGAUUAGGUAGUUGGUGGGAUAAAAGCUUACCAAGCCGACGAUCUGUAGCUGGUCUGAGAGGACGACCAGCCACACUGGGACUGAGACACGGCCCAGACUCCUACGGGAGGCAGCAGUGGGGAAUUUUGGACAAUGGGCGAAAGCCUGAUCCAGCAAUGCCGCGUGCAGGAUGAAGGCCUUCGGGUUGUAAACUGCUUUUGUACGGAACGAAAAGGCUCUGGCUAAUACCUGGGGCACAUGACGGUACCGUAAGAAUAAGCACCGGCUAACUAUGUG
rnacentral:rRNA from 1 species